ACACAUUACAGGGAGUAUUAUUGCUGCGGAGCUCUGUUAUACACUCAGACACAUUACAGGGAGUAUUAUUGCUAGGGAGCUCUGUUAUACACUCAGACACAUUACUGGGAGUAUUAUUGCUGUGGAGCUCUGUUAUACACUCAGACACAUUACUGGGAGUAUUAUUGCUGCGGAGCUCUGUUAUACACGCAGACACAUUACAGGGAGUAUUAUUGCUAGGGAGCUCUGUUAUACACUCAGUCACAUUAC